rnacentral:rRNA from 1 species
GUCGAGAAUCUUUCACAAUGGGGGCAACCCUGAUGGAGCGACGCCGCGUGGAGGAUAAGGUCUUCGGAUUGUAAACUCCUGUCAUGCGUGAACAAGGUUGCUUGGAUAAUACCUGAGCAAAUUGAUGGUAGCGCAAGAGGAAGAGACGGCUAACUCUGUGCCAGCAGCCGCGGUAAUACAGAGGUCUCAAGCGUUGUUCGGAAUCACUGGGCGUAAAGGGUGCGUAGGUGGCGUGGCAAGUCAGAUGUGAAAGCCCGGGGCUCAACCUCGGAACUGCAUCCGAUACUGCCAUGCUAGAGUACUGGAGAGGUGACUAGAAUUCUCGGUGUAGCAGUGAAAUGCGUAGAUAUCGAGAGGAAUACCAAAGGCGUAGGCAGGUCACUGGACAGUUACUGACACUGAGGCACGAAGGCCAGGGGAGCGAACGGGAUUAGAAACCCCGGUAGUCC